CAGUUUGUCGAUUUCAGACUUCCUUUCUUUUCAUCUCUAUCCCCCUGACUAGGUGUGGUGAACUUUCCCUUUUGCGAACAAAAAGCUUCUCUGUUGGCCAAACCACCACGUCCUUGACUGCAUCUGCUACUGGGUGAGUUUAACGUCGCUGAUUUCGAUCUGUUGGGAGAAGCUGAGGAAGUCUCUAAUAUUUGUCUAUCACUGCUGCUGCUACGGUGUUCGAUUAACGUCUCUUGGGAGAAGCUGCGAAACUCUUUGCUACUGAUAACCAAUGUCUACCACGAGUUUUAAUGACAGCAACCAAAGUGGGUUAAGGUUUGUGAAUGUUAGAUGCAAAUGUCCUGAACCCAAAAGGGCAUUGAUGCGAAUUUCAGAGUCUAGUUCGAACCCAAAUAUGUUGUACUACUGCUGCCCUGAAGCACCAAGAGGAUGUCGAUUCUUCUUAUGGUGUGAACCUAUAGUUGCACUAAGACUUUUGCCACCCCUACAACUAAUUCAGAAGCAGUUGUUGGUGAAAGAAUCCAACGUUAACUGAUGAAAGAAGAGAUUCGUGCCUUGAAGAAAAGAAUUAAGAAUUUAGAGAACGCGUAUGGAAAGAGGAAAAUUGUAAUUGGUGUGCUUGUGGUGGUGUGUUUA